rnacentral:rRNA from 1 species
UUUAAACUUGAGAGUUUGAUCAUGGCUCAGAACGUACGCUGGCGGCACGCCUAACACAUGCAAGUCGAACGAAGUAGCAAUACUUAGUGGCAGACGGGUGAGUAACAUGUGGGUAUCUUCCCUUUGGCCUGGAAUAACACGAGGAAACUUGUGCUAAUACCGGAUAAGUCUUUACGGAGAAAGCUUUAUGCACCAUUGGAUGAGCCCGCACUUGAUUAGUUUGUUGGUAGGGUAAUGGCCUACCAAGACUUUGAUCAAUAGCUGAUUUGAGAGGAUGAUCAGCCACAUUGGGACUGAGACACGGCCCAAACUCCUACGGGAGGCAGCAGUGGGGAAUCUUGCACAAUGGAGGAAACUCUGAUGCAGCGAUGCCGCGUGAGUGAAGAAGGCCCUUGGGUUGUAAAGCUCUUUCGUCGGGGAAGAAAAUGACUGUACCCGAAUAAGAAGGUCCGGCUAACUUCGUGCCAGCAGCCGCGGUAAUACGAAGGGACCUAGCGUAGUUCGGAAUUACUGGGCUUAAAGAGUUCGUAGGUGGUUGAAAAAGUUGGUGGUGAAAUCCCAGAGCUUAACUCUGGAACUGCCAUCAAAACUUUUCAGCUAGAGUAUGAUAGAGGAAAGCAGAAUUUCUAGUGUAGAGGUGAAAUUCGUAGAUAUUAGAAAGAAUACCAAAUGCGAAGGCAGCUUUCUGGAUCAUUACUGACACUGAGGAACGAAAGCAUGGGUAGCGAAGAGGAUUAGAUACCCUCGUAGUCCAUGCCGUAAACGAUGUGUGUUAGACGUUGGAAAUUUAUUUUCAGUGUCGCAGCGAAAGCAAUAAACACACCGCCUGGGGAGUACGACCGCAAGGUUAAAACUCAAAUGAAUUGACGGGGACCCGCACAAGUAGUGGAGCAUGUGGUUUAAUUCGAAGAUACGCGCAGAACCUUACCAACACUUGACAUGUUCGUCGCGACUUUAAGAGAUUAAAGUUUUCGGUUCGGCCGGACGAAACACAGGUGCUGCAUGGCUGUCGUCAGCUCGUGUCGUGAGAUGUUGGGUUAAGUCCCGCAACGAGCGCAACCCUUACUUUUAGUUGCCAUCAUUAAGUUGGGCACUCUGAAAGAACUGCCAGUGAUAAGCUGGAGGAAGGUGGGGAUGACGUCAAGUCCUCAUGGCCCUUACGUGUUGGGCUACACACGUGCUACAAUGGUAUUUACAAUAGGAAGCGAAACGGCGACGUUAAGCAAAUCCUUAAAAAAUACCUCAGUUCGGAUUGCACUCUGCAACUCGAGUGCAUGAAGCUGGAAUUACUAGUAAUCGUGGAUCAGCGUGCCACGGUGAAUGCGUUCCCGGGUCUUGUACACACCGCCCGUCACACCAUGGGAGUUGGUUCUACCUUAAGGCAAGGUUUUAAACCCUUGACCACGGUAUAGUCAGCGACUGGGGUGAAGUCGUAACAAGGUAGCCGUAGGGGAACCUGCGGCUGGAUUACCUCCUUUCUAA